UUUUUCACACUUUUCAAUCGAAUGGUAAAAGUUUAGUACUUAACUACAUCAAUUUCAAUCAAUAUAAAUGGUGAAAGUUUUUUUUAUACGUUUCUUUUUUUUUAACACUGAUCUAUUAUUCUAUUACAAAUUAUGAGAACUAUUACAUCGACAAUUUAACAACGGACAAGUCUCCCGCCUGCAAAUACGCCAAACGAAUCUCCAUGCAUCACGUUGAAAACCUCCUGUAAGCUUGUCUCCAUUAAUCUGCAAAUUAAUAAUAAAUCGCACCUUCCGGGACUCGAAACCCAGAUCUCUUGGUGUAGAAGCAUUAAAGACCCAUUAACCACUAGGCUAAAGAAGUUUCCACAAAUGGUGAAAGUUUAGAAAUAUUUUAAUUUCAUCAAUUUUUAUUCCUCAAAAUAUACUACCAAUUGUAGGUUUGUACUCACUCAUUAAUGUAAAUGGAAACAAAAAAUACUUGAUAUCAGUAGACAACAGAUUUGUAGUAAUAUUUGAUAAUAUGUAUCUACUUGACAAACAAAAGAUAUGUAGAAAAGUUUUUUAAAUUAAUUAUCAAAUGCAUGAUAAAGAAGACUGAGAUUGACAAAACAAACAAACCAAAAAGAUUGAGUAAUUCUCUAAAUUACCUUUUUAUGUUUGGCUUGUAAAAACUAUCACCAAAAGGACAAAUUAAGAGUAUUUAACUGAUUUAAGAAGGGUUUCCAAAUAUUUCCAGAAAGGUUUAUAAAAACUCUAAACACAAGUUUGGGAGAAUGUUAGAUUUUUGUGAUAAUUUUUGGACAAAAAUAUAUAUAUAACAAAUGAUGAUUCUGAAAAUCCCUUUUGUAUUCAGAAACUUCUAUUCAAAUAUAUAGAAAUAAGCACUAUUUGGAUAAAAAUAUUAAAUCAUUAAAUCUUAUAGAUACUCAAAAUCUUACAAAAAUACUUUUCUAUAAAAAAACAACUGAAAUCACUAAAUAUACGUAGUCAACUGCAAGUCUACACACUUAAUGUUACGAUUUCAGAUAUAAAAAAAAAACAAUUAAAUUAAGAUAAUUAAAAUACUUUACAAAAAUCACCCCCUCUCUCUCUGUGACUCUGUCCCGCCUCUGUUAGAUUUCAGUCCAAGCAUUUCAUUGUAGAAGCAGCAACAGGAAGAACUCUAAUAAUAAACGAUAAGCAGAAUUUGAAUAAGAAUCAUCAUAUUCAGUCUCAUCUUCUUGAAUUAAGGUCCAUGAUAUUCUUUUUUUUGUUUUCUAACAAACGCAUUUGAUUUAAUUGAAUUGUGAACGAGAAGAUGUCUAGUUAUGUUGGUGUACUUGUCUCUGAUCCAUGGCUACAAAGCCAGUUUACUCAAGUGGACCUACGUAAUCUUAAAUCCAAGGUUUAUCUCUCUUUCUUUUAUUCUUUCAUCACACAUUAUCAAUUCACACUUUGUAGCCAAAUUGACCAUUCGAAUUCUUUUUUUUCCUUAGUUUAUAUCGACAAAAACUCAAUCCGGCCAUCUCAUUGUGAAACAUUUACCAAAAGUGUUAGCAAAGUUAAAAGAUUUCAAUGGCACAUUUGAAGAAAAUGAGAUCAAAGCUAUACUGGAUGAGUCUUAUCACAAUCUCAAUGAUGAAGUUGAAUUCGAAACCUUUCUCCGGGUGAGUUUGAGAAUGUCUCUAAAUCCAGUAAAACAUGUUAAAUUUCGUGAAUUUCCAACUCAAAACAAACUCACAAUAAAUGGGUUGGUUCAUGUUCGUUAAUUAUUACUUUAAUCUCUUUAUAACUUCCGAUGUAGGAUACUAACAAAACGUUGUAAAAUGUGGCUAAUAUGAUUUGUAACAGGCCUUUUUAUGUGUGCAAUCCCGAGGAGGAGGAGGAGGAACAAAAGGUUCAUCGUUUCUCAAGACAAGUACUACAACGUUUCACCACACUAUCAAUGAAUCCGAGAAAGCUUCAUAUGUGUCCCAUAUCAAUAACUAUUUGAGAGAAGAUCCUCUCUUGAAAAGCUAUCUUCCAAUCAAUCCUGCUACUGAUGCUCUGUUUGAUCUUGUUAAAGAUGGUGUUCUUUUAUGGUACACAUAUCUUCAUAAAUUAUUUUCUAAUAUAAACAUUUUGGGUGGUAUUUUGGUUCUAAUUAUUGUUCCUUUGGUUUACACAGUAAGCUAAUAAACAUAGCUGCGCCUGGGACGAUAGAUGAAAGAGCGAUCAACACGAAGAAAGAGCUUAAUCCAUGGGAGAGAACUGAGAACCUUUCACUCUGUCUCAAUUCUGCUAAGGCCAUUGGCUGCACCGUCGUCAACAUUGGAACUCAAGACAUUGCUGAAGGAAGAGUGAGUACUAAUCUGUAAAAAAAAGAUUCUUCAUUUGUUUUACUCUGUUUCAUAUUCUGUUUUCUUGUUCUCACUUCUUGUUUCUGUAGCCGCAUCUUGUACUUGGGUUGAUCUUUCAGAUUAUAAAGGUAGACACUUUACAUUACUUUAGCAUAAGAUGAUGAGACAUGGUUACCUAAUUUUUUUUGUUUUUUGUUUGGGGAAACAAUAAGAUCCAAUUGUUGGCUGAUCUCAAUCUCAAGAAAACUCCACAACUUGUUGAGUUGGUGGAAGAAAAUCAGGUAAUGAGUUUAUAGCUUUCAACCUUUUAUACAAGUUCUUAAAAUGUGUAAUUUGAGGCUGAAACUAUACUUAAACAGCUUCAUUAAUGGUUUUUUGAAGGAUGUGGAAGAGCUCAUGGGUCUAGCUCCUGAAAAACUUUUGCUUAAAUGGAUGAAUUUUCAUCUUAAGAAAGCUGGUUAUGAGAAACAGGUCACCAACUUCUCUUCUGAUGUUAAGGUAACAAACUAGAUCCUGCUACAACGUUUUUCUUCUUCAUCUUGCUUGCGAUUUUCAGUUAUCUUGAUCUAAUCUAUCUUUUGUGUUUGGCAGGACGGAGAGGCAUAUGCAUAUCUGCUAAAUGCACUUGCCCCAGAACACAGUACACAAGUGACCUUAGAGAUCAAAGACCCUUCGGAAAGAGCGAAGAAAGUCCUUGAGCAAGCAGAGAAGCUUGACUGUGAAAGAUACCUUUCUCCUGAAGAUAUAGUGGAAGGCUCUGCAAAUCUUAAUCUUGCAUUUGUGGCACAACUGUUUCAGCACAGGUCAAUAUCAGGAAAGAGUGAUAAUUAUAUAUCUAUUCUUCACCUUUACUAGUUUUGUUUAUAUAUAUAUGAUCUUUGUUGUAGGAAUGGAUUCUCUGAUGAGACUUCGAAGACGCCUACCUCUUUUGCUGAGAUCAUCACAGAAGAUGAAGAAACUUCUCGAGAAGAAAGAUGCUUUCGCCUUUGGAUUAACAGUCUUGGUGCUGCCACUUAUGUAGAUAAUGUUUUCGAGGAUGUUAGAGACGGGUAAGCAUUGCAGUUUCUUUUUGUUUCAUUGAUCUUUAUUUGCUUGAAUCUAAACUUCCUAAUGACAUUUCUCAGAUGGGUUCUUCUUGAAGUUCUUGACAAAGUAUCACCAGGCUCGGUUAACUGGAAAUAUGCAAAUAAACCGCCCAUCAAAAUGCUAUUCAAAAAAGUUGAAAAUUGCAACCAAGUUAUCAAGAUUGGUAAAGAAUUGCACUUCUCGCUUGUCAAUGUAGCGGGUACUGACAUUGUUCAAGGAAAUAAGAAGCUCAUUCUCGGUGAGAUACCUUCCUGCAGAAAAAAAUUCUGUUACGUUUUCUAGUUUUAGUUAAAACUUGAUGACAAUCUUUGUAUGCAGCGUUCUUGUGGCAAUUGAUGAGAUACACAAUGCUCCAAAUUCUGAAUAACUUGAGAUCUCACUGGAAAGGUAAAGAAAUUACAGAAGCAGAUAUUCUGAACUGGGCAAAUAGGAAAGUCAAGAAGAUGGGUCGAACCUCUCAAGCUGUGAGCUUCAACGUAAAGAAAAGAGUCAAACAUGGAGACUAGAGUACCCAUUAUUCAUAUAAACCUUAAAAAAAAUUGAUGGUUACUUUUUAGGACAAGAAUCUGUCGAAUGGAAUCUUCUUUUUGGAGCUUUUGAGUGCUGUGGAGCCAAGAGUUGUAGACUGGAGUCUUGUAACCAAAGGAGAAACAGGUAGUAAAACUCUUAGUUGUUUAUCAGCAUUUGAAAAGAAUUGAGUUAAGGUUGGUUUUUGAUUGGCAAUUUUAAGCAGAAGAGGAAAAGAAGUUGAAUGCAACAUACAUCAUAAGUGUUGCAAGGAAGCUUGGAUGCUCAAUUUUCUAGUUGCCUGAGGAAAUUAUAGAGGUAGAUUAUAGCUUCAUAUUCCGCAGUAUUUUUUUCAGGCUGGGUUGCUUUAUCAGUCUGUAUGUAAACAAUGAUAACAGGUAAAUCAGAAAAUGAUGCUUAUAUUGGCUGCGAGCAUCAUGAACUGGAGCCUCCAGCAACAAUCAGAAACUGGCUCUACUGUGUCUGAUGAUGGUGAUGUAAGCUCUGUGACAGAAGAGAUCUCCAAUUUGUCCACAGACGAUGGAUCUUCAGAUGCCCAAGAUGAUGAAAUGUUAAACAAGUUUGAGACUUUCUUAUUCUUGGAUUGAAGUUUAGGUAGCGAAAGAGAAAACAAGAUAAGAGACAAUGUAGCUUUAUUAGAUAUACAAACAGAGAAUCUGAUACAUAUUGUACAACUGUGUAUUUGAUUUGUGGUAAGACAUCGUUAUUGUAGACUCAAGACAUUGUUAUUGUAGACUCUUGGUCACUGUUCUAGCUCAAAUCCUAUAAAUAAGAAGUGAAAUCAGAGACUAAACUACUGCAGGCGAAGCAAAUUGAGCACAUAUACUAAAACAAGAUACUGAAAUUCUAUUAUUGACAUCUGCAACAUGUUUGAUCCUUUGUGUAAAGAAAGAUUUGAAGGUUCUAUAUAAUAUUAUGAGAAUGGGGAGCAACAGUCUAUAUAGAAAAAGACAGACUCAAAACUUUGUUUUCACCAGAUUCUUAAGGAGAACUUGUAAUCAGUCCUCAGCUUCUGACUCGGAUUUCUCCUGCUCUGCCAUUUCCACGAGCAUUCUGAGGCGCUUAUCGAAAAUCAAAGCACUCUCGUCUCUCAUGUCAAGCUCUAAAGCCUCUGCUUCAAGCCACUUUUCUCUCAGGUCAUCGAGCAGAUUCCCUUGGUCUGUGGUCAUCAUUGCGCCUGGUGCACUUGGAGCAGUGGUUCGAAGUGAAGAGUCACCAGAUGGUGGAGGCAAUGUUAAUAGCAUUGCCCUGAACUCGCGGGUUUCAACAAAUGCCUCGAAAUUACAAGCAACCAAGUCUAAGCAGUACUCUCUUAUCUUCAACACGCCGUACCUAUGUCAUUCAAGUUCAAAACUAAACCUCUCAGCAUCAAUGUUUUACAAAUAGAACCGGUACCUCGAAUCAACUAGAAUCAAAAUCGUCAAAACUAAUAGAGACAUUAUGUUUUAAUUCCCAUGACUAGCAGUCAACAAAUUUUAGUGUAAUAACAUAUGUACCGUUAACCUAUCCUGCUCGACCAUUGAAUACGCCAAAGUUAGCCAUCAAUUAGAAAAUUGGUUUAGAGAAGAAGAAAAUCAUACAUAUCUGACAAAACCAGCCAAUGACAGAGUUCUGCAGGUGUGGCAGUUUCCAAGUGAGGCAACAAAGCGUCAGCCACAGCACGUUUCAGAGGAAACAGCAAGUAGCGAGAUGCAACAUCAAAGAUUUCCUCAGCCUGCAAAAUGAGUAAAAUUAUCAGAAGGAAAGGUAAAUUACAGAGGAUAUUCUCUAAAUAGCAAACAUGUUUUAACCUGAUUCGGAUUGAUCUCCUUCAGGCCAUCAGUGUACCUGAUAAUGCUUCUCGAGUUAGCUUAUCGUGCCAAAAAUAAGUUUUUCAAAAAACUUUCUCAGGUUUUUUGCUUACAUAUACUCAAUCAUCUUCUCGAAAGCCUCUGCACUUAAAUCAUGUUCUUCGAGAGCUGGAAGACAAUCACCCGGCAAAUCAUUUUUGCCCUCAUGGAAAUCAUUCACACGGGAUAAUCUUGCUCUGAAGUACUCUGAUCUCGAAGCUAGAAUGACUUGAUGGCAAUAGAAAGUCCUUUUAUCAACUUUAACACAAACAUCAGCAAGGCUAUCCACAGAAUCACUGACUCUCUUAUCCCCAACAGACGAAUUUAAUGAAUCGCCACUGGUAUCUGCAAAUGGCUUCGCUAGGGAAACCCGAAGAAUCCUAUGCAAUGAAGCAGGAAGCCUGUCUUCCUCUGGAAGAGAUAUCCCUUGUAAGAUAAACCGUUUCAUGGAGUUAUCAAGAUCUCUAUGUGUUUUGUACUCAGCAUAUUUCUGAUGAAUCAGUUCCUUCUCGAUAAUCCUCUGCAGCGAUUCGCAUUUACAAACUUUGCAGAUCCUUUCAAGGUCUUCCAUAUCAUCGACCGAUAUCUCCAGCCUAUCCGAGUAGAAGAAGUGGAUGAGGCUACACAGAGCAGGAUACGAAAGCUUCUCUUUCGAGAACCUAACUUCUCUUCGGUCUUUCCAUUCACUCUCGAACUUUUGCUUGAAAAACGGAGACCGAGCACUUAAGAUAACCCUGUGUGCUUCAAUCGGUCUACCUUGCACGAAGAAAACCACAUCUGGUGGGAAGUAAUUGGAACUACCCAUCUCAUCUACUGAAACUGAGACUGCAAAACACUCUCUCAUGCGUCAGUCUCUAGAGACCACAUACAAAGCUAACACGCACAAGAAGCUAUCUCAGUAAAAAUCUCUGCAACUACAAGAACUAAACGACAAUGUACUAAAUUGGAUUCAAGAACUCAAAUUUCCUUAAAAAAUGGAUUGAGAGUGAACAAUUAACUACAGUAUACCGAACAAUUCAAGUUCUCAACUACAAUGUACUAAACAAUUCAAGAACUCAACUACAGUGUACUUAAUUGGAUUCCAGAACUCAACUAUCCAUAAAAACUGGAUUGUGAGUGAACAAUUCAAGAACAAAACUACAAUGAACUGAACAAUUCAAGAACUGCAAUGUACUGAAUUGGAUUCAAGAACUCAACUUUCUUUAAUUGUGAGUGAAGUGGGAAAGAAACAAUCAAUCUUAAUUGAGGAUUCCAUGAUUGGAAAAAACAUACCGGAAACAUCAAUAUUAGCAACGGAAGCUUGUUUCAGAUACGCCCGAUUGUGGAAGCAACCCAGAAACGUUUCCCUAAGAGAAGCUUGCAAUGGAGCAAGCGGAGGCGGACGAGCCUCAAACGCCUUGAGAAGCUUCCGAAUCCUAAGGUUAAGAGAGGCGUAGUGACAACGAUCGCCGUCGAAAGUGUGUUCGGAGCAAAUAGCGCCGUUCUCAAGAAGCAUCCGAGCAGCGUCGAUGUGACCGGCGAGACAAGCGUAGUAGAGAGCUACAGAGUCCCAUCGGUCACGGGCGUUGACGUUAACUCCAGUCUCGAGUAGGUAUCGGAGCCUAUCGACGUCUCCGGCGCGUGAGGCCUCGAAAAUGUCUCCGUUGGGGACUUUUUUCAGAGGUAUUGAAGGUCCGUAAUCUUGGAGGUCAAUGUCUAGAUCUUCGAGGUCGGAUUCAAGUGUCCAAGACGAUGAACUCUCAAUCGGAGACAUCGUCGACGAAAUCGCCGGAUUUAGAUAGAGAAGAAACGCAUAAACCCUAGAGAGAGUGGUGAAGUUAUCGUUUCCAUGGUGGUCUUGUGGUUUUUUACUUAAUUCUGAGGUUUAGUGGAGAUUAACGAUUGAUUAGUGAAGAUAAAAGUGUUGUUGUUACUUAUCUACGGAGGUCUUAGCUUGGUCUCACACAUCAUUAACGAUAUUUUUACAUAGGUGACAGACUGACAGUUAUAAAACCUGGCCGACAUGGUUAUAUAAUAUGGUCGGAGCUUGGGACAAUGCCAUAUUGGGACAUGUCAUAUUAGUGUAGCUAAAGUUUAUAUAAUAUGGUCGGAGCUUGGGACAAUGCCAUAUUGGGUCAUAGGUCAUAUACUCAUAUUAGUGUAGCUAAAGUUUACAUGAGAAAGUUAUAAGAAAUGCUUUAUUUACAAACCAAAGGAAGGUAAAUGGGAAAUGAGACUAGGUGUUAUAGUCUGGGAAUUGAGAGAAUGUGUUAUGUGUGCAUCUUUGAAGACAUAUCGUAUUUGUACCCCAAAUCGGUUUUCGUAGUCGAGGAUCAUCUAACAAAAUUCAGGCUUAAAAUCUAAGAAUCUUAGACUACCUACCAUACAUGACUCUGCAAUAUAAGGGUAGGGCUUUUGCAACUUGAAACAAGGACAAAAGGUUUUGUUAGCACGGACUAUGAAAAUAUUAAUGACACAAGCGGUUUUAGCAUAUGGUCCAAACGCAGAGAUGUAGAGAAUGGUGAAGCGUUUAGGAUUUAGGCUGAAAGUUUGGUGAUGAUUGGUCAUUUAUGGCCAAAAUGAGUUAUAAGAAAGCUGACUAAGUAAGUAAUUUGAUGUGUGGAAAAUAUAAUGAAAAAUUGUAAUGAGAGAACCAUGAAUAAGCUGGAUGUUUGUUGUGAUUCAUGAAAACCUUUACACCUCAUAAUUUUUUAUCUAUCUAUUAAGAUUUUGUUUAUCCUUGUAUUCAUUAGAUUGUGAAUAACAAUAUGACUUUGAAUUUAUAUUAACAAUUGAUUAUUCACGCUUCCAUCCGUUUUUGUAUUGUGUUGUCUGGAGAAGUCUCACAAUUAUGGUUUUGUUGGAGAUUAAAAGAUUUGGGUAUCACCAACUAUCGUUAGUUCGACUGGCAAAUGAACUUUAAACAAAGCUUAAAGAUCACAAGAUUGAUUGUUGCUUGGAACAGAACUAAUAUUAUUUGUUGUAGUUCCGGAGUCGAGGGAUUACAGGCUUGUCCAAAACCUCCUGAUAAAAAAAAAUGAAAAAAAAAAGAUUUGGACAUCUUGGACAUAGAAGAAGAGUAUGGUUAGUAGGAUAUGAAUAAUAUGCGGAUUCAUUAAUAAAAAUUCUAUCAAAGAUUACUCGCAAAUAGCUUUGUAUAAAGCUGAAGACAUCUCUGUUAUAAACGCCUCGAUUGCUUGCUAUAUGGAUUCAUGUGCUAACACGGUCUUGUUCAUUUCAAACCUGCAAGCCGUGACUACAUGAGCUGUUUAGUUCACAAAGUAGAACUGCCUCUUUGGAGUUCCUUUCAUUAUCUUUGUAGUAUGAUUUGCUUUGAUCCUUACUUAGGAUGUUGUACUCUUCAUGGUUUUAAUUUUAGUGGAAUUUCAGUGAAAAGAAAAAAGAAAAACAAAAUGAUCAGCGUAGGAUUUGAAUCCAGAUAGCACCAAAGCUUCCCCGGAGGUCCGCUCCGCACUUUGGAAUUGGAAUCGGAAUCUUUCGGAAGCUCACAAGUCUUGAUAAAUAUAUUGUUGAUCAACAUGUAAUGACUAAUAUAUAAUGAGUUUUUCAUGGCAGAAAAUUGGUUUUAUAGAUAUAUUUAUUUAGAUGAUAAUUUUAGCCAAAAGGUUUCACUAUUUAUGUUCUAGUUGAUGAUUAUGUUUUAUAUUAAACAGAACAGUAAUUUUUAAAAAAUCACAAUUUAAAGUUUUUGUUUAAAAUGUUGUUUAAAUUUUUUUAAAUAUAUAAUAACAUAAAAUUAAUAUCAAAAUAAUUCAAACUAUUAGAGGUAAGAGUUUGACUUCCAAAAUAUGCAAAUUAUAAUUAGAGUCAGCUCUGGGCUAAAGUCUAUCAAGCAAUGGUUUUAGGUGGCCCAAAAAUCUAACAUUUUUUGAAGCAGCAAAAAAAUCCCACAAUUUUUUUUUUUAAAUGUGUAUUAAACUUUGUUCCAUAUCGACCGAGUCACAAAAAUAAGAAAGAAAAGUUGCAUUAUAAAUAAGAGUUAUUCUCCACUCUUUAUUCUUAUAGAAAAUAUGGAUCUAUUACUGGAUUUGAUUAUAAUACGACAAUUUUUUUUAAAAAAAAAUCGAUUUCAAGCUUAAAUAAAUUGAUUUUAGGCUUUAAAAAUCGAUUUUAAGUUUUAAAAAAUCAAUUUUAGGCAGAAAAAAAUCAAUUUUUUUUUUACAUUAUUUCGAUUAAAGACAUCAUUUUCAAAGUACGUUUUAGGCGUUAUAUAACUUUGCGUCGGCUCUGAUUAUAAUAAACAAGGGGGGGGGGGAUUUCUUUUCUUCUUCAGCAUUUGAAGACAUGAAGCAAAUACAAGCAAUGCUUGAACUUCUCCACAGUAACGGUCUUGGUCAACAUAUCAGCUGCAUUUUCUGACGUAUGCACUUUCUCCAACAAGACUUCUCCAGAUGCAGACAACUCUCUAAUCUUAUGAAAUCUGACAUGAAUGUGCUUCAUCCUUGCAUGAUAUACCGGGUUCUUGGCUAAAGACAACGCACUCUUGCUGUCGCUAUAUAGCUGAACUCCUCCUUGAUCAACAUCCAAUUCUGUCACAAGUCCCUUGACCCAAAGUGACUUCUUAGCUGCUUCUCCCAUUGCCAUAUACUCAGCUUCUGUAGUAGACAUUGCCACAACAGACUGUAGCACAGAUCUCCAACAAAUAGGACCUCCAGCAAGAGUAAAUACAUACCCUAUAGUAAACCUUCUGUUGUCUAGAUUAUCAGCAUAAUCUGAAUCCACAUAUCCCACAACUAAGUCACACUCUUGACCACCAAACAUAAAUCCAAGAUCGCUUGUACCCUUUAAAUAUCUGAAAAUCUAUUUGACAGCUUUCCAGUGUUCUCUUCCAGGAUUGGACAUGUACUUGCUCAUUUGACUAACUGCUUGUGCUAAAUCAGGUAUAGUGCACACCAUAGCAUACAUCAAACAGUCAACUGCACUUGCAUAAGGAACCUUUGAAAUAUCUCUGAUUUCUUGAUCAGACUUAGGACACUGCAUUGAUGAAAGUGAGAAGUGCAAUGCCAAAGGUAUAAACACUGCCUUUGCAUCUCUCAUGUCAAACAUGUCUACAAUCUUCUGAAUAUAGCUCUGUUGAGAAAGUCAUAAUCUCCUUGAGCUUCUUUCUCUGCGAAUUUCCAUCCCAAGGAUCUUCUUUGCAGCACCAAGAUCCUUCAUAUUGAACUCUUUCUUCAAUAACUCUUUCAGCUUAUCAAUAUCCUCCAUAUCUCUCGCAGAAAUAAGCAUAUCAUCAACAAAAAGCAGUAGGAAUAUGGUAGAAUGACCAUCCAGAAACCUUACAUAGACGCAGUAGUCAUACUUACAGCUUGUGUAGCCAAUCUUCACCAUGUCGGAGUCAAAACGUUUGUACCAUUGCCUAGGAGCCUGCUUCAAUCCAUACAGAGACUUCCUAAGUCUGUACACAAAGUUCUCCUCACCUGGUUUCACAAACCCCUCUGGUUGCUCCAUAUAGAUCUCUUCGUCCAGAUCUCCAUGAAGAAAUGCUGUCUUUACAUCCAUCUGAUCAAGAUGGAAAUCCCAGCUUGCUACCACACCCAGCACAGCUCUAAUAGAAGUGUGCCUAACCACAGGGGAGAAGAUUUCGUCAUAAUCAACCCUUUUCCUCUGUGAGUAACCAUUUGCCACCAAUCUUUCCUUGAACUUAACUGGUUCCUUCUCAGACAUCCCAGGUUUUACCUUGAAAACCCACUUGCAUCCUAUCGCCCUCUUGCCUUUUGAUAAAAGCGUUAGAUCCCAUGUUUGAUUUCUGUCUAGGCUCUCAUUCUCUUCUGUCAUAGCUCCAAUCCAGAAAUCUUUCUCAAGACUUGAGAAAGCCACUUGAAAAUUUGUUGGAUCACCUGAACCAACCAUCAGACAAUAAUUAGCCAUGUCUUCAAACCCUAAUAUUUCAGGCGGAUUAAUGAUGCGUCUUGGUCUUUGAAGUGCCAAACUCUCAUAUGCCUUACUAUGCUGAACAUCCUGCUCCACCUCAACAGGUUGUUUAUCAUGUCCUGCUGAUAGUCUAGUCUCACUAGACUCCUCCUGUGAUGUGCCAGAAUCUGUUUUAGUCUCAAUGAUCACAAGAACUCGAUCUGAUCUCGCUUGCUGCACCAUAUACUGCUCAUCAAAGACCACAUCUCGACUGAAUACCCUCUUCUUAUCAACAUGAUCAUAUAACUUGAAGCCUUUCACACCUUUUCCAAAACCCAGAAAAAUGCACUUCUUGGAUUUCGAAUCCAUUUUAGAUCUUUCGUCAUUUGGAACCAGCAUGUAAGUUGGGCAUCCAAAUAUCUUCAAUUUUGACAGAUAAAUAUCUGUCCUAGUUCAAAUCUCUUCAGCGACCUUCCUUCUAGAGAACUCCUAGGCGACCUAUUGAUGAGAUACACCACCAUGUUUACUGCCUCUGCCCAGAACUGCUUAGAAAGUCUUGCAUUCAACCUCAAACUAAAAAAAGCUUAAUCAAAGAGAGAGAAAUCGCAAAUUGAGGCAAACACCCGUUUAGGGUUUUCUUAUUGAAUGUGUGAAUGAUCAAUUACAAUCCCUAAAGUCUGUAUUUAUAUUCUCAAAAAUCCGACUCCCAAACCCACUCGAUAAAGGAAAUCCUUUAUCGAGCCCACUAAGGAAACUGUACCGUGGGGGGCGAAGCCCCCUACACCCCCCAAGUGAAUCCGAGCCGUUACAUUUCUCAGCUCGCUCUAGCAGGACCCUUUUAGAAUACUUUGUCACUAUAAACAAACAAUAUAUUAAUAUGAAACUACGAUUUUGCGUUUUGGCAGGAAAAUGAGAUUUUUUUCGUUUUUGGCAAAAUAUCAAUUUUUUGUGUAUCAAUUUUCCGUUUUUUGGCGGGAAACCGAGAUUUUGAGUUUUUUGGCGGAAAUCAAAAUUUUUGUAUUUUAGACGGGAAAUAAAAAUUUUUGCGUUUUUGACAGGAAAUCAAGAUUUUUUUUUUUUUUUGACGGAAAAUAAAGAUUUUGAAUUUUGCGAGAAAUUGAGAUUUUUGCGGCUUUUGCGAGACAUUGAAGUUUUUCGUUUUGAUAGGAAUCGAGAUUAUGCGGAAAAACUUGAUUUAAUGAGUUUCGCGGGAAACUUAGAUUUUUGUGGUUUUGACGGAACAACGAAAUUUCAAAUUUUGGCGAGAAAUCGAGAUUUUGUGUUUUUGGCGAAAAAACAAUAUUUUGCGGGGCAACGAAGUUUUUUGUUUUGAUGGAAAAAUCAUGAUUUUGCAGAUUUUGCGGAAAAGUUUGAUUUAAUGAUUUUUGCAAAAAAAUUAGAUUUUAUGGUUUUUGGCGGGAAAUCGAGAUUUUCGUUUUUAGGGGGUUUAGGAAAAAUAUUAUUUUGAUGAGAAUUGUUUUGGCGAAAAUUGAUUUUUUAAAAGAUAAUUAUGAAUAUGUUACCGAAGAUUAUUUUAGUUUGUUUUGAUAUGCUAAAUUUGCAUCCAAAACUCUAUAUUUUUCAGUAUCUGAAAAUUUUAACCCAAUUUUUUUUAUCCAUUGAGCGGACCAAUGUCCUAAAUGUCUAACCCGUUUUGUCCAUGAGCAAAAUUAGAAGAAAUCCAUUUCAACCCGUUUAAAAAUAAAUUUGGCCAUGACCGGUCCAAAAUGUGUUGGACACGUACAGACCAUAGGCCGUCCACCCUUUUUAACAGCUUUCUACUCAAGUAUAAUAUUUUUUAUUUUAUUUAAACGUAAACAAGAAUAUUUGUAAAACUAAAAUAAAAGAAAAUCUUCUCAAGCUCUUCUUAUCCUCUUUUUCUCUGUCUCUCUCUCGCAAAGAAGAAGCAGAAAACAAUUCUCUAGACGAUGAAGACGAAGAGAACACAUGAAACAGCACUAAGAGCAUGUACAUUAGAGGGCUUUAUUAUUAAAAGCUGCUUAAGAUUAUUAUAAUAUUUUUUAUAAGCAAUCCUCUAUGGGUCAGCCCUAAAAACUCUUCUGCAAGGGUCAGCUCUAAUAUUUUGGGUUUUCUUUUUAUUAUUUUAACUCAAAAUAUUUAUUAGCAACCUAAGUAAAAAAUAUUAAGGGCUCUCAAUGAACAUGGUUUUAGAACAUCACUAUCACGAUAUUUUAAAGGGUUUUUAGUGAAAUUUAAAAAUAAAAUAAUCAAAUCGUUUCUUUAGUUUAAGAAACAUUUUUUAAUUGGGGACAAGAAGAGCGUAUCUUCAGCUACGUGUUUGCGCGAGAUUGAUCUUCUUUCUUUUCCCCGAGUCUUUUGUUUUUUUGGAUUUCUCCUUGUUUUCUCUGUUGAGAGAUUAGAAAUGCAGAAAUCCGUCUUGUUGAUCCAAACGGUGGCAAUCUCUGGCGGCGUAUUCUCUGCCGUCUCUUGCUGGUGAGUGAUGUUUGUUCACAUCUAUCUCAGCUUGUCUUCUCGAUUUUUCGUUUCUCCUCUUCCCAUUUCUUCUAUUUAGGGUUCAUGCUUUGUCUUUUUUAUUGUUUAGUAGAGAAUUCGCGAGAAAAGAGCUCGGCGGUUUGAUUGAAGGACUCGUCGUGGAGGCUCCGACUCUAGCUGCUUCUCCUCCUCAUUAGUUUUGAUUUCAAUUACAUUUUCUGUGAAUGAGAGCAAUUGUUGUAUAAACGAUGUGUUUAUCAAAUCCUUCUAGUUAAUUCAACUAUGAAUAACUAUUUUGACAAUUCGAUCUCUGUAUAUACGAGAGAAAUGCACAUUGGUUGAUGAGAAGAGAAAACCCACAUUGUUUGUGAUAAGAUUGUUUGUAAUAGAAACAAAAAAAAAUUGCAAAUUAUUUGAGAUUAGAGUUUGAGAUUAAAAUUUCAUAUUGCAAAAAAACAUUUUUUUAAGAAACUCAUCUCGGAUUCUACCAAUGAACCGACAUAAACUAAAGAUUUUUUUAUCAGAGUUUGUUAACAAAAAAUAAUAACAAAAAUUGCAUAAUAAAUCCAUAUGGGUUUCUGCAAUAAUGAUGCUCUAAUAUGUAGGUACACAUAGAGACCACUAUAUUCAUACAUCUUUAUAGAACGAAUUCAAAUAGUUUUUAUUUGACAAAAAAAUUUCAAAUAAAUAAAAAAAAAUUACAAAGAUAUAACUUUUCUGUCAUAUAGUUUGAAAAAAGUUGAUAAAAAUAAUGAAGAGAACUCUACAAGAAAGUAGAAAUCUAAAGAGAGGAGAGGAGACGAAUAUCUAGAGAUGGCUCUCUAGGGACCCCUAUUUUUUUACUCUUACGUGUUGGACCGAGAUUUAUAAAGCCCAAAUGGGUUUUAUUAAAAAUCAGAGUGUGAUGAUGAAAUGGGCCAAUACUAGAUGUUGGCUUGUUUUUAAUGAAGUGCACUUGUCCCACAUUGACGGUUUGGUGGAAACAUUUCCUCUAUAUAUUAGAUCAAGUGUUAUAAAUGUUCAAAUAGCGUGUGAGAGAAAAGAGGAAGCUUCACGCGCGCCACCACCGCAGCAAGCCACACCAGACCGGGCCGAGCGCGGGUCGUGUUGGUCGAAUGGGCCUAAGGCAGGUAUUAUUUUGGGCCAGAUUUUUAUGAACGUUUCAACAUUUUUUUGUUGACUCAAACUUUCUGCUUGCGUUUUUGAUUCAGUCAAAAGAAUAUUGGAUAUUCAUUAUCCCCACAAAAAUAUAACAUCAGAGAUUGUGACUUUAUCACGUUCGCUGAUUCUUUGCAUUUGACUUCGUUCAAAGUAUGGCCAAGAUUCGUGUUUGACUCAUGGAUUUUGUGGGAUUUUGCAGACUGCACAAAUCUCUUCCUCUGCUAUAUAAACACGACAUCUCCUCUCAUUUUAAACACUCACUUACUUCUCAUUUUCUACACAGAAAAUUCUUGCAACAAUCUAUGUCUUUUACUGAGAGUAUAGUAGAAGUAAUAGUUCGUAUAGAUCCAUGUUUCUUAGUGCUUCUGAAAACAGAUAAGUAUGGUUGUAUCCUGCAAUUCUUGGAUCACAGAAACCCGUCGCACUACGGGCGAUUCAAAGAGUUAAGAAAAGAGAUCAUAGUCUCACCUCCACUCGUAUCUCUUUACCUUUACUUUUAUAUUUAAUCUCGUAUUUCAAUCGUUAUUUCAUAGUGUACAAUCAAUUUUGGUCCUACAGUACCAUGGUCAAUUGCAUCUCUUGAACUGUUUUUGUGUAAGUUUUAUGGACCUUCCCCAUCGAGUCCUUUGAGAUGUGUCACCCAUUUCAAACCUUGUAGCUCUCAAAUCUAAGGCAGCUAACCAAGACAUUCCCUUGCACAACUUCAUUAGCGAUUUGAGUUGGAUUUUAUAAAUAAUAUACAUAUAAUAUUUGAAAUUGUAUACUUUUAAAUUUAUUUUUAUUCGGAAAAUUGUGUUUAGUAUACGUAUUAUAUUUAAAAUUUGUAUACUUCUUAAAAUCAUUUCUAAUCUGCAGAUUGUGUUUCUUUCAGAAAUGGAAAACUAAACUGCCAAUGUCACCUCAGUCGAUCAGACUAUCACUAUUGGGACUGAACAGAUCCAGUUUGGGUCUUUCCCACCAGUGACUUGGGUUAUCCCGCCUCCGAUUACUGGACAAUAUCAAUCGGUUCAGAUGCGAGCUGUGAAUCCAGUAGGAGUCCUUCCCGAGAAGUUCGAUGGGACCAAAUUUAAGAUGUGGCAGAAGAAGAUGUUCUUCUAUCUGGCCACACUUAAGCUGGAGAAGUACACCCGUGAAGAGAAACCUAUUCUCCCAUCAGAUAAUGAUGAUGCUUAUGCACUUGCAAGCAAGUUAGCUUGGGAACACAGAGACUUCCUGUGCAAAGGAUACAUUCAGAGUCGUCUUGCUGAUGCACUGUUCAACGUGUAUAGCAAUGUCGAGACGUCUAAAGAACUAUGGGAUUCUCUAGACAAGAAGUAUUGCACAAAAGAUGCUGGAUCUCAUAAAUACGCUGUGGCGAAAUUUCAAGACUACAAAAUUGUGGAUUUGAGGCAAAUAAUAGAUCAAGUGGGAGAGCUACAAACUCUUCUCCAUGAAAUUCAUGCUGAGGGGAUGAGGCUGUGUGAGACCUAUCAGGUCGCAUGCAUCAUUGAGAAGCUCCCAUCUAACUGGACGGUCUUUAAAAACUAUCUGAAGCUGAAGAAGAAGUGGAUGAGUCUCGAAGACCUAACCAUUAAGCUUCGUAUGGAGUCAACAAACUGAAAGAACCUCGGACAAGGUGUGUAAAUUUGCGAAUCCAAUGUGAAUGUGGUGGAACACCAAAACAAAGGGUGCUACAACAAAGGACGCCAAGACAAAGGAAAGGGCAAAGUACCACCACAUAACUCACAGAAGUUCAAGAAGAAGAAAUCUGGUGGUGGCGAAAGCUCUCAAAAGUUCACUGGAACAUGUCACAAUUGUGGCAAGACAGGCCAAAAAUCCUUUGAGUGCCGCAGCAAAAAGGCUCUAAGGAAAAAUGAAUCUAAUCUCGCCUAUCCAGACAUGUGCGCGAUGAUCACUGAGGCAAACGUCGCUGAGAGCCAUCCAAAGAUUUGGUGGUUCGAUACUGGUGCAACCAGGCACAUUUGCUUGGAUAGGUCAAUGUUCUCUGCCUACACCAAGAACAAGAGUGACGAGAAAAUCUUUAUGGGAAACUCUGCGACAUGAAAGAUUGAAGGUUAUGGGAAAGUUGUUCUGAAUCUUACCUCUGGACGUGAGCUUACCCUGACAAAUGUGGUCCACGUGCCGGACAUGCGCAAUAAUCUGAUCUCUGGAUCUCUCAUGAGUAAGCAUAGAUUCACUGUCAAGUUAGAUGCGGAUAAGCUGGUGCUAUCCAAAACGGGAUGUAUCUGGGGAAAGGGUUUGUUAGUGAUGGUCUUUUUAAGAUGUGUGUUGAAGCUUUUAUUCGCAGAAAUGUUGUAACUGAGGCUUCCACCUCGAAGAUGAAUGAGAAUAAGAAACCAGUUACUUAUUUGUCUAAGUCUUUUACUUUAUAGCACGAAUGUUUAGGACAUGUUAACUUUAAAACUAUGAGUAGAUUGAUGAACAUGAAUAUGAUUCCUAAACACGAAAUAAGUAAGGAAAAAUGUGAGAUUUGCGUUCAAGCCAAACUCACUAAAACACCAUCACCAAACGUGAAAAGAACAAUUGAACCUCUAAGUUUAAUUCACACUGAUUUUAUGUGACUAGUGGUUUGUGCAAACCAGAGGUGGGAAAAAUAUUUUGUAACCUUCAUAAAUGACUGCACAAGAUAUUGUUAUGUAUAUUUACUAAGCAGUAAAAAUGAAGCAUUGGUCAAAUUCAAAGAAUACAAUUUGGAAGUGGAAAACCAACUUAAUAAAGCUACUAAAAUAGUUCGAAGUGAUAGAGGAGGAAAAUAUGAUGAACCCUUUAAUACGUUCUGUAUGGAAAAUGGCAUUAUUCAUCAAACUACUGCUCCUUAUUCACCAGAGUCUAACGGAGUUGCAUAACGAAAAAAAUAGAACUCUAAAAAAAACGAUGAAUGCAAUGUUGCAAGAAUCUAGGUUAGCCCAGAACAUGUGGGGGGAAGCUUUGCUUACCCCAAAUUAUAUCCUCAACAAAAUACCGCAUAAAAUUACGGGACAAACCCCAUAUGAACUUUGGAAGGGAAGAGUACUUUCAUACAAAUACCUAAAAGUGUGGGGGUUCUUGGCAAAAGUAGCAGUACCACCUCCGAAAAAGGUCACAAUUGGACAUAAGACGGUAGAUUGCAUUUUCAUAGGAUAUGCUCAUAAUAGUAGUGCCUAUCGAUUUCUGGUACAUAUAUAAGAUAAUCAGAUAUUCAUAUGAAUACAAUAAAGGAGUCAAGAAAUGCUUCAUUCUUUGAAAAUGUGUUUCCAUGUAAGGAUAGAGAAAGCUAUAAACGAUCUCAUGACCAACGAUAUGCUUGUACUUCUGGAAAUGAAGCAAGCACUUCGGGCACUGCUAUUAAUGACGAAAAAGAAGAAGAAGAACUUAGAUGGAGUAAAAGAUCUCGUAAAGAAAAAAACAUUUGGUUCUGAGUUCUUAGUUGUUUUCCUAGCUGAAAAUGAACCAAGAACAUUUACAGAAGCAAUGUCCACGCUAGAUGGUCCUCUUUGGAAGAAAGCUGUUAAUAGUGAGAUGGACUCAAUUAGACAAAACCACACUUACGAGAUAACCGAUCUACCACAAGGGUUUAAAGCUCUAGGGUGUAGAUGGAAUUUCAAAACAAAGUUGAAAACCGAUGGAUCGAUAAACAAGUACAAGGCUAGGCUUGUGGUGCAAGGAUUUCGACAAAAAGAAGGUCUAUAUUUCUUUGACAUCUAUUAUCUAGUAACGAGAAUAACUUCAAUCAGAAUGCUGAUCGAAAUUGCAGCACUGAGAUAUCUAGAAAUCCAUCAAAUGGACAUUAAAACUGCAUUUUUAAAUGGGGAUUUAGAAGAGAAAAUUUACAUGAAAUAACCUGAAAGGGUUGUUGUCCCAGGACAAGAAAACAAAGUCUGUAGACUUGUUAAAUCAUUGUAUGAACUUAAACAAGCUCCAAAAUAAUGGCAUGAAAAAUUUGACAAUGUAAUGAUGUCAAAUGGUUUCAGCAUUAACGACUGUGAUAAAUGUAUAUACAUAAAAGUACUCCUCACGGGUAUGUUUUGCUGCUUAUACGUUGAUGACAUGCUCAUUAUUGGCAGCAAUAAAGACAUGAUCACUCGAAUUAAAAAUUUUGCUAAGUAGCAAAUUUGAUAUGAAGGAGAUGGGAUUAGCCGAUGUGAUUCUAGGAAUUAGAAUUAUAAAAAACUCGGAUGGAAUAAUCUUGUCCCAAGAACAUUAUGCUGAAAAAAUCCUUGAGCGGUUUAAGAACUACUCAAAUGGAGUUGCAAAAACUCCAGCUGACCCUCAUUUUCACUUGACAAAAAAUUCGGGUGAACCAGUGUUACAAGUGGAAUAUGAAAGAGUGAUCGGAAGUCUUAUGUACUUAACAAACUGUAUUAGACCCGAUUUUUGGUGCACUCAGUAAUUGUACUUAGUCGCUAUACAAGUAAUCCAGGUCAUAAUCAUUGGAAGGCCAUAACUAGAAUAUUGAAUUAUCUUUGAUACACCAAAAUUUAUGGGUUGCACUACAGUAAAGAACCAGUAGUCUUAGAAGGCUAUAGUGAUGCCAACUGGAUUUCAGAUUCUAAAAAUUCGAAAUCAACAAGUGGAUAUGUCUUUACACUUGGUAGUGCAGCAGUAUCCUAGAAAUUUUCCAAACAGACUAUGUUGGCCAGAUCAACCAUGGAAUCUGAGUUUCUAGCGCUAGACAAAGCUGCAAAGGAAGCAGAGUGGCCUCGGAAUUUUUGGAAGAUAUCCCGAUGUGGAAAAAGCCAGUGCCAACAUUACGUGUACACUAUGAUAGUCAGUCGGCUAUAUCUCGAGCACUGAAUAAGCUAUAUAAUGGUAAAUCUUGUCAUAUUAGAAGACGACACAAAACCAUUAGACAUUUGAUCUCGACUGGUGUACUCACGAUAGACGACAUCAAAUCAGUUAAAAACUUAGCAGACCCUUUUACGAAAAGUCUGGCAAGAGAUCAAGUUGUUAAAUCAUCAAGAGGAAUGGGUUUAAAGCCUAUAGAUAAAAAUGACGCCUGAUGGUAACCCCACCUAUGUGACUGGAGAUCCCAAGAUCUAGGUUCAAAGGACAAACGAAAUCAAGCGGAUUCAGAAGUGAGCACUGUGAGACUAUGUCUCUUCCCAGUUUCUAAGAUGAUAGACAGUGCUACCUGUGAGUGUUAAUGUUAAGCUGUGGCUUUUAAUGAUUCCAUUAGUUUUGAGAUAUUCGUGAAGGUUACUUCUUAAAAGAAAAACUAAUGGCAGAUCACCUAAUGAGUGUGAAAUGGGGCCGUUUCUAGGAGAGUGAAAGUAAGACUAUAUUCUCCAAGUUCACUCAUGAAACCAGGAAUGUUCAAGGCCAAAAUAAAUACAAUAGAGAACUCAAGUUCUACGAGAAAAUGUGGCUGCGCGAUAACUGUUGUCUCGGUUUACAUCAAAGUCUAGGUGUUUCAAGACAUCAUGUACACCUCCCGGCCAAGUAAACCCGGCAUAUAUUAAAAAAGAUUGGUUCAAAGCUGAAAAAUGCUACCUCUCAGAUACAGUGCAUUUUCGCAUACUCUCGAAAGUCUGUCUAGUCUAGUCAAAGUAGUGUCUAGUCGAGUCGAGUUUAGUUUAUCGAGUCAGUUGAGUCUUCAUAUGUUUAGAGUCACUUCUCUUCAUGUGGGGGAAUGUUGAAUCGAGUUUUAUAAAGCCCAAAUGGGUUUUUAUUAAAAAUCAGAGUGUAAAGAAGAAAUGGGCCAAUACUAAAUGUUGGCUUGUUUUUUAAUGAAGUGCAUUUGUCCCACAUCGAUGGUUUGGUGGGAAAAUCUCUUCUAUAUAUUAGAACAAGUGUUAUACCUGUUCAAAUAGCUCGUGAGAGAAAAGAGGAAGUCCUACGUGCGCGCUGCCAAGCCAAGCCAAGCCAAGCCGGGUCGGGUCGGGUCAGGUCGGGCACGGGUGCAGGUCGUGUUGGUCAAAUGGGCAUUCGGGCCUAAGGCAGAUAUUCUUUUUGGGCCAAAUAUUUAUGAACGUUUGGUCAAUAUUUUUUCGUUGACUAAAACUUUCUGCUUGCGUUUUUGAUUCAGUCAAAAGAAUAUUGGAUAUUCAUUAUCCCCACAAAAACGUAACGUCAGAAAUUGUGACUUUAUCACGUUCACAGAUUUUUCGCAUUUGACUUCAUUCAAAUUAUGGCCGAGAUUCGUGUUUGACUCGCGGAUUUUGUGGUAUUUUGCAGACUGCCCAAGUCUCUUCCUCUGCUAUAUAUACACGACCUCUCCUCUCAUUUAACACAUUCACUCACUUCUCAUUUUCUACACAGAAGAUUCUUGUAACAGUCUCUCUCUUUUUAUUUCGUAAGUGUUUUACCGAGAGUAUAGUAGAAGUAAUAGUUCGUAUAGAUCCGUGUUUCUUAGUGCUUCUGAAAACGGAUAAGUGUGGUUGUAUCCUGCGACUCUUGGAUCACAGAAAUUCGUCGCACUACGAGCUAUUCAAAGAGUUAAAGAAAGAGAUCAUAGUCUCGCCUCCACUCGUUUCUAUUUACCUUAACGUUUAUAUUUAAUCUCGUAUUUCAAUCGCUAUUUUGUAGUGUUCAAUCAAUUUUGGUCCUACACUACCAUGGUCAAUUGCAUCUCUUGAACUGUUUUUGUGUAAGUUUUAUGGAUCUUCCUCCUCGAGACCUUUGAGAUGGGUCACCCAUUUCAAACCUUGUAGCUCUCAAAUCUAAGGCAGCUAACCAAGACAUUCCCUUGCACAACUUCAUCAGCCAAAGAUCUGAUUGAGAAUAAUUUGAAAUUUUACCAAAGCAGGAGCAGAACCAAAUAAAGUAGCAGUAGGGGCUGCUGGUUUUGCCUCUUCACAUGUGAGGUUGGAGUGGAUGUAUUUGUAACAGGUGUUACAACAACAAUGCUUGGUGUGUCAUAGGCUGCUCCUAUAGUAGAAUCAAUAGGAGCACAUGCUAAGGGAGAUCCAAGUGAUGUAAUGGGGCUGGUAAUAGUUGUAGCAAUAACAGCUUCAGUAUUUAUUUCAGUACAUAUUGCAUCCAUAGCUUCCAAUGAAUCAGUAACAACAAUGGGGGUAGAGAUAAUAGAGUAAGCCACUUCAUUAACAUUAGGUUUAUGAAGAAAUAGGAGUCUCGAUUCCUUGUGGCCUAAUUGUCCACAUCUCUCACACUUAUAUGGAAUGCAAGAGUACUCAAGAGACACCAUUGAGAAAUUGCAUUGUUUAUCCACAGCUACAAACUUAUGCUGAAUAGCCUUAUCUAAUUCUACUUCUACCAUUAGCUUAGCCUCACCUAUUUGUGUGGGUCUAACCUUGAUUUAUUAGUGAACAUAGGUUCUCCUAAACUUAAGGCUAUCCAAGUAAGUAAGAUUUAUACUCAAAUACGAAAUUUGUUUUUAGAAAAAUUGGACCUAUAUAUAUAUAUAUAGUCCAUAUUUUUAAAUAUAUAUAUAUAUACUACUGUAAUUUUUUUAAUAAAUAAUUCGAAUACGACCUCCCAGAAGUUUGAGACACUCUACAAAAGGUUUACACCUUAAAAAACUCUUUAGAAACCAUCAAAUUUUUUUAGCAAAAAAACCAUCAAAUUUAAAUAUAUGAAAAAAAUAUUAGCACCAUCUAUAUAUAAAGUUACUUACUAAAUUGGAAAUUAAUUAUAAAAAAAAACCGAAUUUGCAAAACAAAAUGCAAGUUUUGUCCAAAAGUUCACACUGAUAAUCUAACACAUAAGUCAAAUUUUCUUGUUUUCCGUCAAUGUUUAAUCAAACAUCAACAUUAAAUAGCCAUGCUAAAACAUAUAUUAAAAUACACAUAAAUUUAUUAAGUGAGCAUGCGUGUGGGUUUAUAGUACAGAUAAAACAAACUUUUAAAAGAGUCUUCUUAAAGUUCUUCUCUUUCUCCUUCUCUUCUCUCUUUCUCAAAGAAGAAGCAGAAAAACAAUUCUCCAGACGAUGAUGAAGAUGAUGAAGAGAGAACAUGAAGGAGCACUAGUAUAUUCAUACAUCUAUACCGCUAAUGAAUUCGAGGAGAUGCAUUAGAGGCUACUUCGGUGUUUCGCCGGAAAAAUAAAAGUUAUCAUGAGUCAUCGGCGUACAUGGGAAAGCCAGGCAUUUCUUUAAUUUUUACAUUUUCUGUCUUUUUUAAUAUUCAUAUGUAAUUUUUUUUUUUAAAAAGGAAAAGUCGUAUUUUCAUAUUGUUGUUCAGAUUAUAUCGCAAACAAACCAUAAAUAGGAUGGAUUGAGAUGCUUUCCCAAUUUUUGAUUUUUUUUGUCCUUUCCUGCUAUUUUCUUUUUGACUAACUCAUUUUCCCACAUUAACUAAUCUAAAUAUAUAGAUAUAUUUAUAUGUAUAAUGUAUUUAUAUAUUUGUUUGUUGUAUUGUGUAAUAAGAAGAAUAUAUUAAUAAAAUUUAUGAACCAUUUAUAUAUUUAUAAACCUACAGUCGUUGUUAGGUACGUAAUUGGUUGGUUCAACGUCAAAUCAGUUGGCAAAUUAAAACACAUUUUCAUCCUAGCUCAUUUAAAAAAACUAAUCUUUUAAUGUCGUAGCAGUUACGUAGCUUUCCUUGUUUCGAGCAUUCACGCCACAUAUAUCAAUAAUAAAUAAAUAAAUACAGUAAUAUAUAAAUGUUGACAAAAAAAUUCAGUAAAGAAACCCUGUAUUGUUUCUUUAUGAAAAAUAUUCAGGUGUUGAAACGUGAAAUAACAGAUAUUUAGGUAAAAUGGAAUGCCAUAUCUACUACAAAUUUCAAUUUAAGAUGUUAUACCGGGAGGCAAAUUGUUUAUAUUGAAAGUUUUCAGCCAUCAUUUUCUGAAAUUCAUAAUUUCUAUCUAAAAAAAAAAAAAAGAGCUACUUGCUACAUAUUUACCGAAAACGAAACAAAGACCUAUCGAUCGUAAAUUCCAAAAACAAAGCUAGCUAUGAUAUUUUUGGUUGAUAUGCUGUUUAUAAAUAAGACUACACAAUAAUUAAGUGGUUGGUAAAAAGUACUACAACAAGUAAUCUAAAAUCAACAGCCAACUCAGGGUGGUCUAAUAGUUGAGAAUCCACUCUCUUGAUUAGAGAGUAGGGUUCAUGUUUAAAAUCUAGCUAAACAUCUGUGAACGUCUUAAAUGGUAAGAAAACCUAAAUUUUCACAUUACAGGUCUUAAAGAUUAGUCUAAGAUUCGGUCUGAAAUUUUUUCUGGUUAGAAAAAAGCUUAUCUAAAUACCUCAGUUUGCAGUAUUGUAAUUUUUUCUCAAUAAAAAUGAAUGAAAAUAAGAAAGAAUCAUUUAAAUGUUUAAAAACUUGAGUUGAUAUAUUGUUGGGAGGAGGAGAGAAGAGAGCAAAUAGUAGAGAAGAAAAUUGCCGGCUAUUAUCAAAACAGAACGGCACGCAUUGCCCCCGAGGGGCUGUUCCUUGUUGACUUCACUCACUCUCUCUUUUUUUAUUUUCGUAUCCCUAUUAAUUGAUUUCUUUAUUUGUUUUUUCUUUAUUUUUCUUUUGUGCACGCAAAUUCAUUAAUUUCUUAUAUUUUCCUCUACCUACUGUGAAUGUGUAUAACUAAGACAAAUGUUUUCUUUGGAAUGAAUUUUCUUUCUUUUUUUUCCCAAUGGUAAAAGCCAGUGUUGGUCAAGGCAAACAAUAUUUUAUUAAACCGGGACAAAAUUCAUCAAACCAUACCCGAACUGAAUUUUGUAACGACUCGAAUGGUAAAAGAAAAUUCUAUACCGAAUUCAAAUUGAAUAAAACUGAACGGUUUGACCAAUAUUCACGAUAACUCAUUUAUUUUUUUAAAUUUCUGAAUUGAAUUGAAUUGAAUUGAAUCGAAAUAAAAUUAAAUCGAAAUAAAACUCAGUUAUAACUGAAUUGAAUCGAAAUAAAAUUAAGUCACAAAUAUGACUGAUUUUUAAAAAAUUGACCAACCCGAGGUCUGGCUAGCCGACACCAAACCAAAUGACCGAAUGUCAACUGUUAUUAAGCACACACACAAAAAAACUGGAAACAAAGGAUGACUUGUAUCACUUAAUUAUAUCAUUCUUGUAAACUUUAAUUAUUAUAUGUAUAUAAAAGGAGAGAAAGUGAGUGGAAACGAUAUGAAGGAGAAAAGUUGUAUUAUUAACUUCGCUUACAUCAUAAAAGAAAGAUGUUCCUCUAUUUAUAGGGAGGAUGGUAGUUACAAAGAAAAGGUUGUUAUUAUCACACGUAAGCAAAUGAGGGAUAUGUGAAAAUUGAGGUGGAGAAUCAUUUAUAAAACACUCCCUCCCUCUUGAGUAUCCAUUACUAAUAAUAUAUUACGUAUUGCCUCGUUAGAAAUCUUAUCAUGAAAAAAUCCAAUGAGAUAAAAACUAUGACAAAAAAGAGUAUAGUAACGUAAUCUUCCUCUAGAAAUGAUGGAUAUAAAUUUCUUUUAUAGGUCUCGUAGUCGGCGCAUUCCAAUACUAUGAACAUGUUUUCUAAGUGAGAAACGCAUUUGUAAAAAGAUCUGCUGCAGUGUCGCUCGAGCGAACGUAUUGGAUAAACUUCUUGAUUCUUCUCAAGUUCUUGAGUGUUAGAGAAAAGUCUUGGAGGAAUAUGUUUUGUUCAAUCACUCUUGAUGAAGUCUUCCUUGAGUUGAGCGACACAUGCAGCAUUAUCUUCGAACACUUUUGUUGGUUCCGUAUCAAUGACUAUUCCACUUGCACCGUGUAUAUGUUGAGUCAUAGAUCGGAGCCAUAUGCAGUCUCUACAUGCUUCAUGGAGAGCAAUGAUUUCCGCAUAAUUUGAAGAAGUGGCGACCAAAGUCUGUUUUUUAGAACGCCACGAGAUCGCUGUUCCACCAAUUGCGAAAACAUAUUUGCGAUCGAGCUUUAUGCGGAUCUGAUAAAUAUCCUGCAUCUGCAAACCAACUAUACCAACUUCGGAGUUUCUAGGAUAAAAUAAACCCAGAUCAAUCGUACCUUGGAGAUAACAAAAGAUAUGCUUUAUCCCAUUCCAAUACCUGCACGUAGGAGAUGAACUAUAUCUUGCAAGUAGAUUAGUAGCAAAAUCUAUAUCUGGUCGAGUACAAUUUGCAAGAUACAUAAGCCCACCGAUAGCGCUCAUAUAAGGUACUUCAUGACCUAAUACAUUUUCGCUAUCUUCACAAGGUCAAAAUGGAUCCUUGUUAAUAUCAAGUGAUCUAUUGACCAUUGGAGUACUCAAAGGAGUUGAUUUAUCCAUUUUAAAGUGUUUUAACACCCUUUUGGUGUAAUUUGAUUGAUGCACAAAUAUUCCGUCUUGGAAAUGCUCAAUCUGGAGUCCUAGAAAUUUUUUUGUCUUUCCAAGAUCUUUCAUUUCGAACUCUUCUUUCAUGUGAGUUCUUGCAUCAUCAAUCUCCUUUUGAGUUUUGAUUAUGUUCAGCCAUUCCUUGUGAUGUUAUCGCACCGCCGAUUGACACUAGUCCUUCGCUUGCACCACCUUUGUUUCCUCCGACUCCUCUAUCACCACCAACUCCUUCAUCAUUGGCUCCUCCAGCUCCUGCAGUUGCUCCGGCUCCACCAACUCACUCGCACUCGAUGGUCAUGCAAGCUAAAGCUGGAGUUUGCAAGCCCACUCAACGACUUUGCCUUCACACCACCGUCGUUUUUCCACUUCUCUCUUGUCACGGCAAAACACCCUUAUUCGAAUGGUGCUAUGAAUGAUGAAUAUGAUGCUUUUAUUAAAACAGGAACGUGGUCUUUAGUACCACGGCCUCCGAAUACUAAUGUUGUUCGUUACAAAUCUCGCUUCAUUGCUAAUGGGAUGUCUCAGCAAGAAGGCAUCGAUUGUGAUGAGACAUUUAGUCUAGUGGUGAAGUCUGCGAUGAUAUGCGUAGUUCUUGGUGUUGCUACUUCUCGCAGGUGGGCUCUCCAUCAAUUGAAUGUCAAGAAUGCGUUUCUACAUGGAGAUCAUAAAGAGACCGUCUAUAUGCACCAACCACUAGGCUACCGUGAUCCUUCCAAAUCUGAUCAUGUUUGCUUAUUAUAUCGCUCGUUAUACGGCUUAAAGCAGGCACUUCUCACUUGGUACACCAGGUUUGCAGUCUAUGCUCGCUGCAUUGGUUUCCGCCAAAGCCUCUCGGACCCGUCUCUUUUCAUCUUUAGCCGUGGUGUGAAGACAGCUUAUCUCCUCUUGUACGUCAACGAUAUUAUUCUUACAGCAUCUACCACAUCUUUCUUGCGUUGGAUUAUUUCUUCUCUUACCUCCGAGUUCUCCAUGACUGAUAUGGGACCAUUGCAUCACUUUCUUGGCAUUAGUGUGGUCUAUAACGACAAAGGACUAUUCCUUCAUCAACAAAACUAUGCUGCUGACCUCCUUCACAGUGCUCGCAUGAUGGAGUACAAUCCUUGCAAUACACCCAUUGACACGUCGACACCAAGUCCAAAGUCGGCGCUGAUGAUGGUCCACCGGUCUCUGAUCCCACACCCUACCAUAGUCUCGCUAAUGCUCUCCAAUAUCUCACGUUCACUCGUCCCAAAAUCUAUUAUGCUAUUAAUCAAAUCUAUCUCUAUAUGCAUGACCCACAAGAAUCUCAUCUCAAUGCCUUGAAGCCUAUUCUUUGCUACGUCAAAGGUACAAUCUCUCAUGGUCUGCAGUUAUAUCGCUCCAUUUUGACAGGUCUGGUUGCCUAUUCUGAUGUAGAUUGGGCGGGAUAUCCUACCACGAGACGAUCCACAUCCGGCUACUGCAUUUUUCUUGGAGACAAUCUUAUUUCUUGGUCCUCCAAACUCCAACAGGCUAUCUCCCGAUCAAGUGCUGAGGCUGAAUACUGUGGCAUGACAAAUGCGGUUGCUGUGCUCUCCUGGCUUUGCUCUCUCCUUGGUAAACUUGGUGUCCAUCUAUAGCGCGCAUCUGUUGUGUUUUGUGAUAACGUCAGUUCUGUUUAUCUCUUGUCUAAUCCAGUUCAAGCUCAUAGAGAUCGACAUUCACUUUGUUCGUGAGAAGGCUUUUAUCAGUCAAGUGAAGGUAGUUCAUGUUCCCUCUGCUCUACAACUCACUGACAUUUUCCCCAAAAGCCUUCCGGUAACGUUAUUUAAUGAUUUUUGCUCCAGCUUGAGCAUCCGGCGACCUCCUGCUCCAACUUCAGGGGAGUGUUAGAAUAUAGGAAUAUAAAUUAUUUCCUAAUUCUUGAUAAUUUCAAAUCUAUAUAGAAUAUAUUUACUUGUAGAGCACUCUUGUACAGCCUAUAUAAAGGCCUUGAUGACUACCAUAACUCUCUACGGAGAUUACAAUCUUACAAAGACAAACAGUGUUGUUAGAGUUGAAAUCCAAGGAAUGGAAGCGUAUGAGGGUCAUAGAGUUCACACAGUUCUUAACCAUAUAGAGAACUCGAAGUUUAUUAAAGAGUUUUAGAACUUUGUAACUUGAAGAUUCUUGUAAGAUAGCCAGAUUGGCUCUUGAAUUUUCAUCACAAGGAUCAUAUAUGGAAUCUUAAUUGAUUUCCCUUCUCUUUCUACUGGUUUGUGUGAUUUUCAACUUUUCUUGGCUUAUUUGAUUACUAUUUUUCUUUUCAUGGAUACUCUAUGCAUCCCCUUGUUCAGUGGUUUAUAUAGUAAUGCUUGUUCUUAGCUAAAAGUUAUUUAUCGCAUCUAGUAGAUUAAACUUGGAAAAAAAACUGUGUAAGGUGAUGCGGUAACGUAGCCGAGACAGUGAAUCACAUCUUAUUCCGAUAUGUUAUGUAUGGGCACUCUCUCUAUGUGUUGGUUUUGGGUCCAGAGUUUCCGAAUAGAGUCUCAGAGUCUGGUGUAGGCGAUGAAAUGUGUCAAGAAUCUAGGCUAUAAAGAUAUCAUUUCUGCCUUAUCCAAUCAAGACUUUAUGAAUGACUACAAAGCCCUUAAUUUACUCAAGACUGAAAUAUGCUCGUCUCAAACCUAGUGAAGCGUCAGAUGUAUAAGUUUUUGAUCGUCUUAACUUUACCACAAUAGUACAAAUAAAAAUCUAAUUGUCAGAAUAUUACAACGUUUGAGAAAAUUGCAAAAAUAGUUUUUUUUGGUAAAGUUUUUAGGUUUAGGGUUUAGGGCUUUUUACCCAAAAACCUAAACUUUUAAAACUAAAACCUAGAUCUUAAAAAACUGAAUCCUAAUCGUUAAAUCUUUAUAAAAAUUUCUGAAAAAGACUAUGUCAACUAUUAAUUUUCCCAAAACUAUAUUAUAUUGACAUUUAGUUGGUAACUUGAUACUAUUCUAGACUAUUUCCUCUUGAUUGUAAGUGUAGUGUAUCCGUACAGGCUAAUAAUACCGUCUAGCAAAAUAGAGAUCAUCAAUGAAAUGGAAUUGUUGUCAAGGUAUAAAAAAACUGAGUGGUCGCAUCAGUGAAAUUAGUUGUUUUGUAAUUUAUAAUGUUAACUUUAAUAGAUAUUGAAAAGGCCAGGUACUUGGUUUGUAAGAAGACUGGGUAGCCAGCCACUAAUUCAUCAAUAACAAUAAGCUUACGAAUGCAUAAAUAUAAAUAAACAAACAGAACACAGUGUUUUUACAUUAUAUUUUUACAUAUUAAUUACACUAAAGUCACAACACUUGGAAUGUAACUCAGUCUUUGGGAAAAUUCUAUAAUCUUUGGUUGAGGAAACUUCAACUUUUAGAAAAGGUUCAAAUACUGAUUUUCUCUAAUAGGGGUGAAUCCUUGAUUUUAUCCGAGGCCAACCGUCUCAAGACAAUUGUGAAUUCGGAUGGUAAUUUUCAAAACUAAAAUUAUCCAUUAGAGUAAUCAGACAUAUUUUUAAUUCAUAACAGAAUUAAAUUUUAUUUGAAACAGUUUUCACUAUAAAAAAGUGUUGAACAGAGCAUUCUUUAACCAUCUAUGUUGUUGCUGUCUUCGUUAACAACCAAAAGCAUUAAGAAAUAGGGAAAGUAGAAGAUGUGUCUGAGAAAGCCUUGUCUGGUAGACGAGAAUGCGUAAGGAAUGAUAAGAAGCAUUAGGAGUAUAAAGAAGACCGAAUCUAUGGCUAAUACAAAAUGGGAAAGCCAUGGGAGAUCGCUCACCACGAGUGUAACUCCAGCCACAAAUGCCAUCGCCAUAGAGACAAGAGCGGUUGUAAGAAGUGGUAAAGCUAGUUCAAAAGCUUUCUUUGUCAGAAGAACAUCACCCAGCUGUGCCCAGAUAAGAGCCAUUAUAGUUACCAUAGAAGAGCACAUUGCAAUACUGUUGAACAAGAGAAAAACCUUGAAAUUCAUUUCAUUGACCAGUGCAGCCAUGCCUUGAUCUGGAGCAGAACUGAUGUAACCACCGGGUAAUGUAAAACCUGCAGUGAAGGUCACAGUUGCUACGAGUGCUGCAGUCACCAUAAGAGUAUUGACACUAUCCUUAUAUUUUUCUGGAUUUUGUAUGUGACUCUGUUUCAAGGGAAUCGGUUUCUGACCAUUUGGUGCACCAGCAGAUACCAAAGCCAUCCAAGUCAAUCUCUGUGUAACCCAAGAAAAGAAGUUAUAUGAGAGUUUUAUAUAUAUUGUCCAUAGGAGAUAUAAAGAAUGUGUUUUGCAUCUAUAAAGUUUGGCAUACCUUGUGAAGUACGUAAGUAUCGUCCUUCAACGCUUGAGCAAUAUCUAGAGCUGUAAAACCAUCAUUGUUCAGUGUUGUGAGGUUAAUCCCAUGGUUCCAUGUAAAAAUAUUCACAACCAACGGGUGUCUGUGUUUCGUGGCCAGGUGUAACGGUGUAUUUCCAUCAACGUCUUGUUCAUGCAUCAUUCUUUUAUGUUCAUCAAGUUGUAGGAGAUACUUGACAACUGUCGACUUACCAGUUUUCGCAGCAACAUGAAGAAUAUUCUGACAUUGACUGUUAAGUAGCUCUAUUGAGUCAGGACAAUGCUUAAUAAACUCUUUUAUGAUCCUGACAUGUCCUUCUUUUGCUGCCAUAUGAAUCGGAAAGAAUCCAUCAUCAUCAGCAACAUAACAGACACUUGAAGCUGCUUUGUCAAACUCUGAUAAUAUAUAGCGAAUUCCCUCAUAAAAUCCUAUUGAUGCUCCAAAUGAAAGACAUGUUCUUCCUUCUUCUUUGCGUAAUUCAACAAGUCCUGGAUCUUGACUAAGAAUAAUACCAAGGAUAUCUACAAUACAAAAACAAAAAACAGAAAAGCAAUCACGAAGAAGGGAAUAUCAAAAUUGGCGCAACGUAAGAAACAUGGCCUUAGAACAAACCUCUCCUCUUGGCCCUCAUUGCUGCAUGUACAACAGAUUUUCCACCACGCAUUAAAGCUAAUUUAGAUAAGCAAGGUGAAGAUUCAAGCAUUUUCUCCACGAGCUCGCAAUAUCCGGCUUCUACAGCCAAGUAUAUCGGAGAAACUCCAUCAUUGUUCACAUCAAAUGAUACAUCCUGCCUCACACUAAAAAGGUAGAACGCCACAUUUGCAUGUUUUUCUUUCAACGCAACGUGUAGAGCCGUAUCUCCGUUCUUGCUUUUAGCGGAAAUUAGCAUAUCACACAUCAAAAACUCUGUAAUGUAUCGAACAAGAAACUCAACAAUAUCGAGAUUUCCUGCUCUAGCUGCAACAUGAAGAGCAGUCUCAGAAAUCAAAUUUCCUUUUUCAAGAAGAUUUGGCGAUUCAGAGACUAUAUAAUCAACUAUAUUUGCAUGACCCGAGGCAGCAGCGAUAUGAAGUAGUGAGUUUUCAUGAUUGUCUACGAGUCGUUGAAGGAUCUUUGCAUCAUCUUUCAUCCUUUUGAGGAGAGAUUCUUUGUCACCUGCUCUUACUGCACACAAUAUCUUCGGGUUCAUAAUCUCAGAUUCAUCACUGUCUAUGAAAAUAGUCAACUGAUUUGGAUUUAAAAGGGAACCAGUGGAUGUGCUCCCUGGAUCAGAUAUAAUGCAACACUCCCUCUUCAUAGUCUUGCUCAUAGCUCCUGAUAUUAAUAGUAAUGAGAAAAAUUCAGUUCCAAAAAAAAAAAAAGAUAAGAGAGAAUCACUUAUAAACAAGUAUAAGAAUUAGACAAACACAUACUCUCAAAAAAAAAAAAAUUCAGAAAAAUAUUAUCUGAGACGCUUUGAAAAUUCAGAGGAUGAACGAUGAACAAAAAUAAUGAUGAAAAUGGAGAAAGAGCGUUUUUUUCUCACCUACGAUUUCAUGAGUUCUGCUGAGAUAUUGGAUGGAAUUUGGACUUUUACAAAAUAUUUCAUUAUUUUGGGACGAUUUUUCAAAAGUUUUCUUCUAAGAAAUUUAUUCCAGUGACCACCAAAAAAUGCGCAAGUCAGUCAAGAUGUCACAAAUAAUCCUCAGCAUGAAGAUAAUUAAGACCUUAAUGAAAUUAUUUUACCUUUAUGUUAUCCCUCGAAGACUUUUUUUUCUAGUGAAUUAGGUAGAAAACAACUUUUGAGACUUUAAUAACCUGAAUAACAAAAAGAUAAUGGGGUUGAGUGGGAAAUUAACUUUUAAGGAGCAAUGAUCACAAAUCCAAUGAUUUCUUAAUAAACACGUAAGAGCAUAUCGUUUUUUGAUGUAACCUUUAUUCAACAAGUAUUUAAUUAAGCGAUUAUACCAGAUACGUCCGGACUAUUUUAAUCUGUAAAGUGAUCGCUGUAAUUUGACAAAACAUAUGUUUUUUGAUGUUUCAGACAUCUUUGAUCCUUCUGGGAUUUUUACUCCCUCAAGGAUUUUUCUCAAUCAAGCCUUUUCUGGCAUUCUGACACAGACCUUGGAUCUGGAUCAUCAUUUUUAUUUUCAAUUUUUUUGGAUACUAAAAAAGAGAACAUUCCAUUUGUAUCAUUUAUCUCACUUCUAGACCAUAAUAUCCCACUUUGGGCGAAAUUAAUAGAAAGCUCAUACUUUUCAGUAUCAUGUUCGUCUUCUGGACGAACAUCUUUAAUUGAUUCUUUUGGAACCUCUUCAUGUAUGUUUUCAGGACAUAUAUCUCUAUAAGGUUCUUCUAGAACCUUUUCACAUAUGUCUUCAUGACAUUUUUCUUUAUUCGGUUCUUCUGGAAUCUUAUCUCCCAAUUUCUUUUUCUUUCGAAGAUUUUUAUUCUUCGAGCCCAUUGGCCUCCCGCGCUUUAACUGAACUCGCGGUUCAUUUACUUUAUUCCCAUCAAUAACUUGUUCUGGAACAUUUAUUUUUGAUGGAGCAGUAGCAGCGGGGACAUAUGAUUUUUCACCCUUCUCGUAUAUGUGAACGUAUAAUUGGUUUGCCAAACUUUGCAAAUGUAUAAUUUUCUUAACUUUCACCUCGCGUUGAUGGGUAGGUGAUAACACCGUAUUUUGACCACUUUUAAGGAUCGUUUUGAAAUACUUUUUUUAUGUUUUUAUUGCUUUCAAGUACUUUUAUUACGUGUUUCAAGUAUUUGUAGUUCCAAGACUCUUUUCAGGAAACUUAGGGAAAAGCUUAACAAAAUGGAUAGAAGAUCAGAUUUUAGCUUAGAGUCAAACCGUCAGAAGUUCACCCCCGAUUGAAGGCUUUCUCACCUUCUGAUCCAGCUCAAAUUUGGAGAUCUCAAAGAUGGAAGUAUCAGCUUUCCAGCACACUUUACUGCUUGGCAAUCCAACGGUUCAAUCAAAAGAUAUGCGAAAAGCAAGAUGUCUCAUAAACCAGCCGGUAAGCGUUUCCACCUGCGGCCAACAGGUCAUUCCCCGCGGUCACAACCAUCCCAACCGUGGCCAGCCAUCCAUUCCCCGCGGUCACGCACAUCCCGACCGCGACCAGCUAACUCCGAGUUCGAAGGUCCAAUUCUGAAGCCCAUAUCAUUUUCCCAGCCUCAAUUCUGGAACCGUAAAGACCAGAGAGCAUUAGAGACUAUGAAUACAUGAGAGCAUUAGAGACUAUGAAUACAUAUCAUUUAUGUCGGUUUUAAAGAGAGAAGAAGAGAGACGAAAUACUUUACAGAAAUUUUACUUAAAGCUUUGUUUUUAGGUUUUAGGGAGAGAGAGAUCUAUCUCUUGAACCCUUGUUCUUUCUUUUUCAAUUUUGGUUUUUGUUCUACUUUUCAAUACUAUGUUUUUGAUUUCGUUUAUCAUGUCUGAGUAUUUUUAUUGUUGGGUCUAAGGGAUUUUCGAUGGGGAUAUAUGUGUUCGAUGAGGAUUCCAUGAGCUAUUGAGCCGAAUCUUAGAAUUUUUUCUUCUGAAUUCGUUUUUACUGCAUGAAAGUAGCAUCAUGAACUACAAUCUGAUCCAGAUGCUUGGUGACACGAAAGUGUUCAUCCGGUGUCAGAUCUAGUUUGGGAGAGCAAAACAAACAUAGGAGUGGAAACCUACCUAUGGGCGAUUUGUGAAUGCUGACGAGCCUUAAACAUAAUGCAUCUCUUCUUUUCCAGGGCCAGAGUGGAAACCUACUGGUCAGGGUUGAGAGAGAUAGUUGUCUAUGAUCACGACAGUGGCGUAUUCAUACGUCCGUGACUCUAGUUCGAAAAGUUUAAGCUAGGAUCUUAUCAAAUUUACUAUCUAGAAAUGUUUUGAAUCGUUCAUACCCCUGAGAAAACUUCCCUGAACCCCAUCGCUUUCUUUCUUAUAGAUUUACUCCGAUUUUUAUUCAAGCUUUAGUCUAGUAUCGCUACGCUUUCAAUCGAUUUUCAUAUAAUCAAUUAGGUUUAACCGUUUUUCUCGUUUUUAGCCAUUUUCGUUAAAGUUUAAUUAUUAGGUCAUUUUAAUUCCCGUAUUUUCUCUUUAAGAUUAGUUUUUACGUUUUAAACACACCACCAAAACCCUUACAAAACUCACCUGGUUCUAUACUUCCUUACUUUAUAUUUCUUUCGAAGGCUUUUGCAGGAAAGAUCCUCCUUCCCUGUGGAUUCGAUCCCUAAGUACUAUAAUCGAUCAGCUGUGCACUUGCGGCUAUUGAUUUCAAUUAGGGUAAAACUUGACAACCCUCAUCGCAGACACACAUCAGUAGGGGGAUCGAGAUAAGCCAAGGUUUGUGUACACCAUGUAAUAUCCUUUGGUGAUUCUCUUGAUCCUCCCGCCAACGCUGGGAAUUCAUUUUCAUCAAAGUGACAAUCGGCAAAACGUGCCGUAAACAUAUCUCCAGUUACCGGUUCAAGAUAUCUAAUUAUACUUGGUGACGUAUAGCCGAUAUAUAUUCUCAAUCUCCUUUGUGGCCCCAUUUUUGUUCUUUGCGGCGGGGCUAUUGGGACAUAGACCGCACAUCCAAAAAUACGGAGAUGGAAUACAUUUGGCUCCUUGCCAGAUGUUAACUGUAUUGGAGGAUAUUCAUUAUAUCCACUUGGCCUCAUCUGGACCAAUGACCUAGCAUGCAAUAUAGCAUGUCCCCAUACAGUAAUUGGGAGUGUUGUUCUCAAUAGUAACGGUCUUGCAAUCAUCUGCAACCGUUUUAUCAAAGACUUAGCCAUGCUAUUAUGUGUAUGAACAUGUGGAACCGAAUGCUCAACAUCGAUUCCCAAUGACAUACAAUAGUCAUUAAAGGCCGCUGAAGUGAAUUCACCAGCGUUAUCAAACCUGACUUUUUUUAUGGCAUAAUCAGGGAAUUGCGCUCUCAACCUGAUUAUUUGGGCAAUGAAUCUUGUGAAAGACAUAUUUCUUGUAGUCAAUAGACACACAUGUGACCAUCUACUAGAUGCGUCAAUUAAUACCAUAAAAUAUCUAAAUGGCAUGCAUGGUGGGUGUAUCGGCCCACAUAUAUCACCAUGUAUUCUCUCUAAAAAUACAAGGGAUUCAUUCCCAACUUUGGCUGGCGAAGGCCUAGUUAUGAGUUUUCCUGGAGAACAUGCCUGACAUGAAAACUCUCCCGAUUGAAAAAUCUUCUGGUUUUUCAAUGGGUGGCCACUCAAAUUUUGCACAAUCUUUCUCAUCAUGACUGAUCCAGGAUAGCCAAAUCUUUCAUGCCAAACUCUAAAUGUACUAGUAAACCCCGGAUUUACUGUAACAUAUGAUUCAGUCAUAUUUAUUUUUGUGCAAUAUAAUCCAGAGGACAUCAAAGAUAUUCAAUGCCAUUUUUAUUUAUAUUUGCUAUAUGAUAUCCAUUUCCUCGGAUAUCUUUAAAACCUAGCAAGUUUCUGCUAGAUUUGGGAGAAUACAAUGCAUUAGUUAUUUCAAACUUUGUCCCCCUUGGCAUUGAAAAAUUAGCUCUUCCGAAGCCUAUUAUAAGAUUUGCAUUACCAGAUAUGGUACUCACGCUUCCGGCGGAGUCCUUUAUUUUGAAACAGGAGAAAUACUUUUUAUCUUUAAGUAUAGUAUGUGUCGUAGCACCGUCUGCUAGACAUUUAUCUCCAUCCUGAAUCUCAAAUGAUGACAUGUUCUGAAUCACAAUAUGCAAGAAAAUGCAUUAAUAAAUGAAAACAUGAUUUUAUAAAUUAUUUUAUAUUAAGAAAAAAACCCUUUUCUUGUUAACAAAAAUAUAUUACAUUUUUAUUUAAAAUUACAUUGGUUUUUCUUGUCUUCUUCAAGAAGACUUUAUAUUACAUCGAUCUUAAUCGCUUUGUUUCCGUUGAUUCUUCAGGAUCAACAAGGAAAUCAGCGAUAUCAAGAUGAGUAUAAUCACUUAUGCCAUCAAAGGAAGGUCCAGCUUCAUCAGAGAUGAAAUUGGUUUCAAAAUUCUUUUCUUUAUCCUUUUCUUUGGCAUCUUGUGAUGCUCGGUACAGAUCGGCUAAAUGUCUUGGCAUACGACAUGUUUUUGCCCAGUGAUUUUUCAUGCCGCAUCUAUAACAAGCAGUUUUUUUUUGCUUUCCUGCUUCCCUACCAACAUCAGUUUUUCUUCCUCGUCCACGACCUAGUCCGCGGUUACGGCCUCGGCCGUGUCCGCGUCCGUGUUCGGUUCUAUUAUUUUGACUGGAUGAUGCAACAUUUGCUUCUAGGAAUGGUGAUGAUCCAGUUGGACGAGUUUGAUAGUUUAACAUCACGAGCUGAUUAUUUUGUUCAGCCACAAGGAGGACUUGCAUCAACUCCGAGUAAGUGGUGUAACCUUUUGCCCGGUAUUGUUUUUGCAGGAUUACAUUUCCAGGAUGAAAUGUUUGGAGAGUUUUUUCGAUCUUGUCGAAAUCACUUACCUCCUGUCCACAGAACAUCAUUCUGGAAGUAAUUCCGAACAUCACAGAAUUAUAUUCACCAACACUUUUGUAUCCUGGAACCGGAGGUUCAACCAUUCAUGUUCGGCUUUCGGUAAGAUCACAUACUUUUGGUGAUCAAACCUAUCUUUGAGAGAUUGCCAAAGAUCUGCAGGAUCUUCUUUCGUGAUGUAUUCCUCUUUUAAACUAUUAUUGAUGUAGUGGAGCAAAAAUAUUAUGGCUUUCGCCUUUUUUUCAUCUGAUGUCGUUUCCGACUUAUCGAUGGUAUCGAGAAGCCCGUUUCCUCUUAGAUGCAUUUUUCACCUACUGCCCAUGACAGGUAAUUUUUUCCAGACACAUCAAGGACAUGGAUUUUGAGCUUCGACAUUAUAAAUGUAUAUAUAUAUCGUAAAUUUAGCGAGAUAUUUAAUUUAAAUUUUUUUAAAGAAAAACAUGAUAAAAACUUUUGAAUAUGCAUAUAUAAUAAAAAUAUAUAUUUAGGCAAUAUAAAAGGUAGAACUUUUUAUAUAAUUGAGGAGGCAGAGCCUACCAUAGUUUUAAAGGAGAAGGCAUAACCUUUCACUCCAUAUAUAAACAAGGAGGAGGUAUAACCUUCUACUCCACAAAUAUAAAUUCAAGGAGGAGGCUUAGCCUUCCAUUCCAUAUAUAUGUUCCGAGGAGACAUAGUCUACCAUAUGAUCAUAUGAUCGUGAAGGUAUAAUCUAUUAUACUGAUCAGUUCGGGGAAGGCAGAGCCUAUUAUCUCGUAAACUUGAAAAUAAAUUGAACAUAAAUUUAAAUCAACAGUUCGGGGAAGGCAGAGCCUAUCAUCCUGAAAUAAUAUAUAAAUUUGAAAUAGAUUAAACAUAGAUUUAAAUCUUACCUCUUUGGUAUAAGAACGGAUUGAGAAACGUUCGUGCUGAUAACGUCUUGUAAACUUUAAAUAUUAUAUGUAUAUAAAAGGAGAGAGAGUGAGUGGAGACGAUAUGAGAGAGAAAAGUUGUAUUAUUAACUUCACUUUUUUUUUUGUCGUCUGAAAAUCCAUUUAAAGCCCAAAGGACAAAGUUUGGUACAACAUAUAUCCAGCUAAAGCCCACAUCAUACACAUGCAAACUAAAGAUAAGGACAAAGUAAAAACACAACACGUGUAUAGGUGGAGAAAAGCAUCGACCACGUGGCAGGUCUAGAGAAGAUCGGAAGCUUCAAUUCAUGCAUAUCGCCGUCGCCGGGAAUCUCACCGGAGAUGUCCGCCGUUGACAGGAAUUCACGAAGCUUGUUGUCUGAUUCACCACGAAGUUUCUAUCGUGCACUUAUGUGUACCAAAUUUUACAUACUCUUCCGAUUAGAUCCUGAGAAGUUCUUCAGCCAGAAGUUUUUCUUUCUUCAUAGUUCGACUCCGAUCAGCCAAAACUCAUACUCAAACAUCACCUUAUGCCUUGAAGAAGGCUUCUGAAGAAGGGACUAAGGGAGAUCUCUGCUCCCAAGCUAUGAGCGGAUGAUACCAAAGCUUGAAGAAGAACAAUACUUCCAACACAACCACCGGAUCUGAAGGCAUCACCUCAAUAAAAGAGGAACCAUCAGCGGAAGAGAUGGGCAAACUAAUCCGGUCGAAGCCGGAAAUUUUAUUUUCCGAUCAAGUCGGAACCGAUAUAAGCGAAAAAACUUCAAUCAUUUCGAUUGAAAGUAUGAGAGAAAAAGUAUUCUUACUCUGUGAAAGAUAUUAAAUAGAGAACAGAGCAAGAAUCAAAAGAACUCUCGAUAUCGCCUCUUUAGUCACCGUAAGGAGAGAGAAGAGAGCGAUUUCCUCUGUAAUUCUAU
rnacentral:lncRNA from 1 species